GCUGGAAAGAGAUAUCUGAAAGCAGGGCUGGAGCCGGGACCACGUGGAGCAGGCAUAGUUAGGAUGCCCCCGCGGAUGCUGGAGGAACACCUAACUUUAACCCAUUUUCUCCAUUGAGAGCUUUAACCGAGGAGUGGCCAGAGGCCAGCAGGCAGAGUGGGGCAAAGUGGACUUAGGACCCUGACUGGGGUCUAAAGGCCAAGAAACAGACAGAUCCGGGUAGGGGUGGCUCCAGCUUCAGUCAGAGGAUAUUGUGGUCCCUGGACAGCAGGAAUUCUGGAAAAAACAGCUGCUGCCGUUAUCGCCCCAGGAAAAAACAAGGUCAGGCGCUGCAAAGAUUUAAUUUAAGGUAUGCCCCCGCAGCCUGUGGGCCACGCACCAGCACGCACGCGUCCUUGGAGCGCGGGGGUCGAGGCCUGUGGGAACCGGGAGGCACCCAGGCUGCCUCUGCAUCCACUGAGAGUCCAGCAAACCAGACCUAGCUCUAGAGGUCUCAGCAGGGAGUCUGGGGCGGCCCGCAGUCGCCUGGGGCCAUCAGCGGACCUCACUCGGGCUGCUGGCUGCCCCGAGCUUCUGGGGGGCUAAAUCAGUCUCCAACAAAGCACUCUGAAAUGAGGGGCGCUGUCAGGAGAACAUAGCCCGACCUUAAUGAGAAGUGACGGCAGAGUGGGCCGCAGGCGCUGGCAGGCCAGGUCGGCUGGAGCCCAAAGACCCUUGUCCUUGUCGGCUGCGGCUUGUAGGGCUGGCUCCUGGCGCUCAGGGGCGGGAUGGCUGGGCUGGAGAGCUGCUCGCGCCGCCGCCCAGUCCCCACCGACCACACUUGCUGAAUACAGCUCGGGUGCGGCACAUGGAGUCGUCCGGGGCCAGCUCUGGGCACCGCCGCCUACAGAGCCUUGGUGGUGGCCUUGGGAGGAGAGGACAGACGCUUCACUCCACGCAGACUGGAAAGAAGACUCCCUGAGACAGCGCGCGCCGCGGCUCAGAGCAUGCUUCCUUGGCGCUCCAAGCCAGCCUGGGGAGGCUUUUAAGUCACCAGCGUGGGCAAGAGUACCCGGAGAUUCCCUGAACUGUGUUGGGAGUGUUCAUAUUCUCGACUACCAGAUGGGAGGGUCUGGCCUGGCCCUCCAGGCCGCCAAUCCACCGCCCAGGUCGCCUAAACUUCCAGGCAGAAACCAACCAACAGCCAUGAUUCCCCUAUUUCCCAAACUGGGGAAUAAGGAGCAGGGGUUAGGAGAAAGGGGGAAGGGGGAGGGAACAGGGUCGAACCCGUUGGUUUUUUACUUUAAAAUUAUAUAUUUUAUGUCACAAUCAUUUUUCGUUAAGACCACAAGCAUCCAAUUUGGCUUGGCGUAAUAAAAUCAGCCGGAGCUCCCUUAAACGGAGCCAUUGCAGAGAAUUAAGUUGUGAAAUCUAAUCUAUUAUAUCCAUAAAGGAGAAUGCUUUCAUUGUAAAUUCAGGUUAUAAAGAAACUAUACCUGGGCCGCCAGCCUCCCUUUCGGAUUUGCUACUUGAAGGCUUAUCAAAUUACUGCAAAAUGUUGGGCUCCCCUCUCUAUCUCAAGGCAACCAAAAUUAAAUGUGGCAACAUUUCUUUAA